rnacentral:tRNA from 1 species
AGUUUUAUAUUCUAAUUUAAGGAUUUAAAAUUGCAAUUUUUAAGGUAUAAAAUUUUAUUUAUUAAGACUU